rfam:Candidatus Woykebacteria bacterium RBG_13_40_7b RBG_13_scaffold_7466, whole genome shotgun sequence.
CUAAAUGAGAGUUUGAUCCUGGCUCAGGAUGAACGCUAACGGCGUGCUUUAGGCAUGCAAGUCGAGCGACGUGCCCGCAAGGGUUACGAGCGGCAGACGGGUGAGUAAUGCAUAGGAAUCUACCCUUACCUUUGGGAUAACCCACCGAAAGGUGGGCUAAUACCUAAUAGUCCUAGACCAAUUUUGGUUCUAGGUAAAGGGCGUAACUGCUUGGGUAAGGACGAGCCUAUGUCCCAUCAGCUUGUUGGUAGGGUAAUGGCCUACCAAGGCAAUGACGGGUAGCUGGACUGAGAGGUCGGCCAGCCACAAGGGCACUGAGACACGGGCCCUACUCCUACGGGAGGCAGCAACCGGGAAUCGUAGACAAUGGGCGAAAGCCUGAUCUCGCGACGCCGUGUGGGGGAUGAAGGCCUUCGGGUUGUAAACCCCUUUUGCAGAGGAAGAAGUCCCGAUUUAUCGGGAUUGACGGUACUUUGCGAAUAAGCCGCUGCUAACUACGUGCCAGCAGCCGCGGUGAAACGUAGGCGGCAAGCGUUAUCCGGAUUUACUGGGCGUAAAGAGUUCUGUAGGCGCCUAAUCAAGUUUUUGUUGAAAUACCAACUCUUAAGGUUGGGCUUGGCAAAAAAACUGAUUAGGUAGAGAACCUCGGGGAAUGCCGGAACAGACGGUGUAGCAGUGAAAUGCGAUGAUAUCGUCUGGAACACCGAAGGCGUAGGCAGGCAUUUAAGGGGAUUCUGACGCUGAGAGACGAAAGCUAGGGUAGCGAAUCGGAUUAGAGACCCGAGUAGUCCUAGCUGUAAACCAUGAGUGCUAGAUAUUGGAGGUAUUGACCCCUCCAGUGUCGUAAGCUAACGCGUUAAGCACUCCGCCUGGGGAGUACGGCCGCAAGGCUAAAACUCAAAGGAAUUGGCGGGGACCCGCACAAGCAGGGGAACGUGUGGUUUAAUUCGAGACGGAACGAAGAACCUCACCAGGACUUGACAUGCUAGUGGUAGGGAGCCGAAAGGCCGACAACCCCGAAAGGGGAGCUAGCACAGGUGCUGCAUGGCUGUCGUCAGCUCGUGCCGUGAGGUGUACCCUUAAGUGGGGUAACGAGCGCAACCCCUAUCCAUUGUUGUAUCACUCAAUGGAGACCGCCUCCGAUAAGGGGGAGGAAGGUGGGGACGACGUCAAGUCAUCAUAGCCCUUACGUCCUGGGCUACACACACGUUACAAUGGAUAGAAACAACGAGUAUUGCAACUUCGCAAGGAGAAGCUAAUCCCUGAAAUCUAUCCUCAGUUGGGAUUGUAGGCUGCAACUCGCCUAUAUGAACAUGGACUUGCUAGUAAUCGCAGGUCAGCAUACUGCGGUGAAUACGUUCUCGGGUCUUGCACACACCGCCCGUCAAGCCAACAAAGUCGGUAGCACCCGAAGUCCAAGUCUAACUUGGCCUAAGGUGAGAUCGGUGAUGGGGGCUAAGUCGUAACAAGGUAUCCCUACUGGAAGGUGGGGAUGGAUCACCUCCUUU